UGGGGAAUAUUGGACAAUGGGCGCAAGCCUGAUCCAGCCAUGCCGCGUGAGUGAUGAAGGCCCUCGGGUCGUAAAGCUCUGUGGAGAGGGAAGAAUCCGUUCAGCAUCAGAUCCUGAACGUUGACGGUACCUCUUUAGCAAGCACCGGCUAACUCCGUGCCAGCAGCCGCGGUAAUACGGAGGGUGCAAACGUUGCUCGGAAUCAUUGGGCGUAAAGCGCACGUAGGCGGACCGCUAAGUCGGAUGUGAAAGCCCUCGGCUUAACCGAGGAAGUGCAUUCGAAACUGACGGUCUUGAGUAUGGAAGAGGGUCGCGGAAUUCCCGGUGUAGAGGUGAAAUUCGUAGAUAUCGGGAGGAACACCAGUGGCGAAGGCGGCGACCUGGGCCAAUACUGACGCUGAGGUGCGAAAGCGUGGGGAGCAAACAG
rnacentral:rRNA from 1 species